GUCCACGCCCUAAACGAUGUCUACUAGUUGUCGGGUUUUAAUUAACUUGGUAACGCAGCUAACGCGUGAAGUAGACCGCCUGGGGAGUACGGUCGCAAGAUUAAAACUCAAAGGAAUUGACGGGGACCCGCACAAGCGGUGGAUGAUGUGGAUUAAUUCGAUGCAACGCGAAAAACCUUACCUACCCUUGACAUGUCAGGAAGACCGAAGAGAUUUGGUUGUGCCCGAAAGGGAACCUGAACACAGGUGCUGCAUGGCU
rnacentral:rRNA from 1 species